rnacentral:sRNA from 1 species
GCUUACCAUCGCGACACGUCGCCAUGUUGUUUUGUUAAUGGCCGACAACCUUAUAGAAAUCAAUUGAAGACCUUGUUUUCCUGUUUGAUUUGCUGAUAACCGCAAUUCUGGAAGAAAUAAAAGCAAUUACAAUGCACGGCCGGGGAGGAUUUCCCAUAAAAAAUGUUGUAUUUGGAGUUUUUAUUGUAUUAUUAAUUUAUAUGACUUAUUUAUACAAUGGUUCUCAAAACCGUUUGCGUGAAGCUGAAAUGACAGGGGCACGUUACAAAAGGGAAGCAGAUGACAGAGUCACUGAGAUUCAAGACCUUGUGAAAGCCAAAGAUAAAGCCCAAGAAAACUGGCAGAA